rnacentral:rRNA from 1 species
UACGUAGGGGGCGAGCGUUGUCCGGAAUUAUUGGGCGUAAAGGGCGCGCAGGCGGAUAUUUAAGUCCGAUGUGAAAUACCAGGGCUUAACCCUGGUAGUGCAACGGAAACUGGGUAUCUUGAGUACAGGAGAGGAAAGUGGAAUUCCACGUGUAGCGGUGAAAUGCGUAGAUAUGUGGAGGAACACCAGUGGCGAAGGCGACUUUCUGGACUGUAACUGACGCUGAGGCGCGAAAGCGUGGGGAGCAAACAGGAUUAGAUACCCCUGUAGUCCCUGAG